UGCUCUUCCCCAUUAAGCCCAUUCUCACGGAAAGCCACUCUCGGUCAUUUAGGGUGAUAGGAGCUUUCAACGUGACUGACAACGGACUAUCCACGUCAGAAGGGAACUACAGGUGGGGAGCCUGCAAGCUCCAAUCCAGAGCAAGCAAAGCGCUGGCAUCGGGAACUCUCAAGACAGCCUUGCAGGUGGCGAAUCACUCCAACUGCAAGGCAGCCCACCAGCAGAAGGGAGGGUGGAGCCAAGAACACAGCCCAGAAAGCGCACUUUCUGGCUCCCAGUAUGGUCAGCACGGUCACAGGCCCACAACUGCUUCUCAGGGAAGCUGGAAGUCUUUACUGCAAGGUGUCCAGUUAGAAAUGCAAAGGGAAGAAAAUAAAGAAGAGAGAGAUGGGGCAUGGCGGUACAUCCUUGUAAAUUCAGUGCUCAAAGAAUCGAGGCAGCCGGAUCCUGAAUUCAAGAUCAGCCUGGGCUAUGGGGACACUGAAGCCCUCUAAGGGGAAGCAAAACCAUUCUUUACAACAGACAGGGUAAUUCUGGGGAAUUCCCGAAGCUCCUGUGUUUCUUCCUCCUGUGAGUUCUGCUGAAAACCCUCAAGCCUUGGUGAAGAAGAUGGAGUCUGCUUGUGGCUGCGUUCUCUGUGUGGUAUAUUUCAGAGCCUCUCGUCUGCAGGCUUCUCUGGGGAUGAGAAGCCAUCUUGAACGGCACUCGCAAUUACCACAGAGUGAAUGCUGGUUGCCAUGGCACUGCUUUUAAUGGUUCCUGUGCUGACACAUCUCAUCACACUGCUGCAUGCUGCUCCCAUGCACGGGGACCACAUUUAUCUCAUCCUGCUAUUUGCUGACUGAUGCUUCGGCUCUGCACCAGAAAUAGUGCUCUGUCACCCAAGGAGCAUGUGGGUGUCAUGUCCCCGCCUCGCUCAUCUGUAAGGUGAAACACCUGGAAACGAGAGACCUGGAUUUGCCUCAGAGUUCUCCACGACAUGCUUGUGGGCAAAGGCUUUCGUCUUCCCGUGCCCUGGACUCCUCACUGGAGUGUCUCCAUCGUCCCUUCCUGAUGUAGCACCUUCCCAGCAGCACAGGCUGAGCUGAGAGCCACCAUCAAAGUGCGAGGAAGGCAAUUCCUGUAAGCCCUUGCACAGCCCUCCCGGGCUGACGCUUUCUGAAACUCCCCUUUAGUGCCUCAGGGCUGUUUUGCGUUACUUCCCUGGCAAGGUGCCACUUGCAAAGCCAGACCCUCUGGUGUGCUAAAGGGACUGUGUUCCGCUCGGCUUAGGUCAUUAUUUGCUGUGAAAUGCUUUCUUCCCAUAAUCCCCGGUUAGUGCUUUAGCCUCAAAGUUAGCCCUCUCUACCUGAAGAACGCAAGUUCUAAAUUUAGAGAACCGGCCUCCGAGGGAAGCUGGCCUGCAGACCUGAUUUCCAGAGCAGCAUCUCAUGGGAGCAGGAUCUGGGAGGAGAUGGCUCUGAUACCUGUCUAGCCAGCAUGCAGCGGGGCUCACUGGCCAGAGUACAAAUGAGGUCACCUUUCCUUCCCUGCUUGCGUUGCCCAGACCCCCAGUGUUCACAUGCUGGCUGCAGGAGCUGGACCCCACCUUCAAAUCCUCCUUGCGACCCUACAUCAGUUAUUGCACAUUUAGCUAAAAAAAAAUUGCCUGGAAACUUAGUUAACAAAGAUAACAGGGUGUCUUGGUACAAACAGAUACCCUAAUCUCAGGGUGGGGAAACACCUUGGGCCUCAAUAAACAGUAUCUUGGUUGUUGUUUGGA